rnacentral:rRNA from 1 species
UACAGAGGGGGCAAGCGUUGUUCGGAAUUACUGGGCGUAAAGGGCGCGUAGGCGGCCUGUUAAGUCGAACGUGAAAUCCCCGGGCUCAACCCGGGAACUGCGUCCGAUACUGGCAGGCUUGAAUCCGGGAGAGGGAUGCGGAAUUCCAGGUGUAGCGGUGAAAUGCGUAGAUAUCUGGAGGAACACCGGUGGCGAAGGCGGCUCACUGGGCCGGUCCUGACGCUGAGACGCGAAGGCGUGGGGAGCGAACGGG